GGUGCCAGUGGAGGCCAGAAGAGGGCACUGGACCCCUGGAGCUGGAAUGACAGGUGGAUGUAGUGAGUGCUGGGGACUCAGAUUCAGAUGAGCUCUCUCUCUAGCCCCAAGAUAGGAACCUGUUGUCCUCUGAAAGUCUCUAACCAGCAGCUGACUCAGAUACAGACAUCCACAGCAAAACAGGAAUGGAGUUUGGGGAGUCUUUUGGAAGAACAUGAUGAAGGAUUGCAGCCUCUAAGGAGAUAAGAACUCCACAGGAAGACCAACAAAGUCAACUAACUCGGACCCUUGGGUUUAAGAGACUGAAUCACCAGGCAACAUGGGCUGGACCAGCCAACAUAGGGCUCUCCACAUGUAUGUAGCAGAUGUAUAGCUUGGUCUUCAUGUGCAUCUUGAACAACUGGAGUGCAGGCUAUCCCAAAGACUGUUGCCUGUAUGUGAGAUAUGUUCUUCUAUUGGGCUGCCUUGUCUGGCCUCAAGUGGGAGAGGAAAUGCCUAGCCUCUCAGAGACUUGAUACAUCCAGAGGGGCCCCACCCACUCAGAGGAGAAGGGGAAGGGUGAUGGGGGAAAGAUUGUGGGAAGGGGUGACUGAUAGGGGGCAGUGAGUGGCUUGUAAAGUGAAUAAGUAAAGUAAAUACUAGUAAUAAAUUAUUUUAAAAAGUGAAAGAAAAAUCUAGACUAAGCAAUGAUAAUAUGUUUAUGAUGUGGGUAUAGAGGGAGUAGAGUUAUAGGAAAAGUGUUUUUUCACAUUGAUAAAGGUGUGUUGAGAGGGAGUAUAUGCAAAGAAGGGCAGUGGUCCACAGGGUCCAAAUGCUGCCCCGUGGUAGCUAGCAUCAUAUUCUAACUAUGACCUGGGCAAAAAUAAUGUUCUUUAACACAGAAAGCAAGUGUGAUUAUGUGAGUUCUACUUACUGGGGACAUGUAAACUUGUCAUUAUGAUCUUUCCUCUGCCACCAAGUGCCACUGUUUUACAAUUGUAGACUCAGAGAGAUUCCAUAACUCUAAGUGCUAUGCUACUGUGGCUGAGUGUUUCAAACAAGGUCAGAAUGAGGACAAAGUGAAGUUCUUUCCACUAGACCACAGUAUUAGCAAGGUAUCUCCUAGCCAGUGUUUUAAGCACUUAGCAUAAACUACCCAGCCUAAGUGUUUAGCAUGUAUUAUCUUAUUUGAUUUGUAGAAAAAGAUGUUCCAAAGCUGGGGUCCUUUUACAGAUGCAGAGAGACCGCAAGAAGUAAAGCCACUUGCUUACUUCAUUCAUUGACUUCACAACACAGAUUAACAUAUUGGAAAGCUCUUAAUUUGUAGCUGUCGAAUGAUCCUCUUUUGCAGUGGCCAUUUCUCUUUUGACACGGGUGAUUCCCCUGUGGUAAAGGCUGGUCAUUUUCUUUCUAUUUUAAGAUAAAGAAAAGGACUACCAGGAUGCUCUUAGUUUCUCCACUGGCUUCCCACUGUUUCCUAUCCUGUGUCUUCAGGAACCUUCCUUAUUCCAGCUUUGCCUACAGCAUCUUCUUAAAGGUAUUCUUGUAGUUUCACAUCUUUGGAAGCAUUGAGUUGCUCUUCAUUUUAUAGCUGCUUGUAUGAAUUCUUAGUCUCUACACUGAUAGCCAUGAAUUUAAAUUGCCAGCCUUUACUUAACUCUUCUGAACAUUUUUUUUUCUCAGCAAAGAACAGUCCAUGGUUUAUACACAACCAGCUGCUAUUUACUAAUAGUCAAAGUGCUGAGGUAGGGCUGACAUGGUAAGCAAUGGAGGACAAAUGAAAGGGACACUUCACACUGGGCUGACUUGGUUUUGAAUUUAGGCUCUGCUUACUAGGUCUAUAACCUUAGGCAAAUUUCCUCUUUGUCAAAUUGGACUAUUAGUACCAAUUACCUUAUGAGUGUGUUUGGAUGAUUGCACACACUAAUAAAAGUGAAGUAUUUAGUCAAGAACCUGGCACGUUAAGGCUCCAGUGGUGCUGAGCAUCCUUAUAAAGUGACUUGGGCAACGUGGUAGAAGGUGAUGUAGGAAAAGAUGCUUAUGGUCUUACAUUCUAUUUGCCCAGGGAUAGAAAGUGAAAAGGAAGUUUAAUGGACAUUAGAUGUGGUUGGGAAAAGGUACAGGCCAAAAUGUGGCUUCUAAUUCACAGUGCUCUUCCAUCCCUGCAGAAUUGCUAUAUAAAGUCUGCUCAUGCCGAAGCUAACGCUACUUUAGGAGCACCAUAAAUUUAGACCAUGAUGUGAACAGCAUUCCCAGAGUAACACUGGGUGGCUCUUUUGUACAUUUUCUACUUUAUUAGUCCAAGGGAGGUAUACGAUAUAUAUGUAUAUGUAUAUUGAAUAUAUAUAUAUUGAAUUGUGA